rnacentral:rRNA from 1 species
GGCAUGCAAGUCGAACGAGAACCAGGGCUGUAGCAAUACAGUCUUGGGGAAAGUGGCGAAAGGGGCAGUAAGGCGUGGGUAACCUACCCCGGGGACCGGGAUAGCCAUCCUAACGGAUGGGUAAUACCGGGCGAUAUGGCGAGGUCGCAUGGUCUUGCCAUGAGAUGAAUUUCGCCUCGGGAGGGGCUCACGUGGUAUUAGCUAGUUGGUGGGGUAACGGCCUACCAAGGCAAAGAUGCCUAGCGGGUGUGAGAGCACGACCCGCGCCACUGGCACUGAGACACUGGCCAGACUCCUACGGGAGGCUGCAGUCGAGGAUCUUCGGCAAUGGGCGCAAGCCUGACCGAGCGACGCCGCGUGCGCGAUGAAGGCCUUCGGGUUGUAAAGCGCUGUCGAGGGGGAGGAAAGCCGGGCAACCGGUCUGACUAAUCCCUGGAGGAAGCACGGGCUAAGUUCGUGCCAGCAGCCGCGGUAAGACGAACCGUGCGAACGUUGUUCGGAAUCACUGGGCUUAAAGGGCGCGUAGGCGGGCGGCCAAGUCAGGAGUGAAAUCUUUCGGCUCAACCGGAAAAGUGCUCUUGAUACUGGCUGUCUUGAGGGAGAUAGGGGCAUGUGGAACUUCCGGUGGAGCGGUGAAAUGCGUUGAUAUCGGAAGGAACGCCGGUGGCGAAAGCGACGUGCUGGACCUCUUCUGACGCUGAGGCGCGAAAGCUAGGGGAGCGAACGGGAUUAGAUACCCCGGUAGUCCUAGCCCUAAACGAUGGGUACUAGGUAGUAGACUUGACAUGGGUUUACUGCCGAACAAAAGUGCUAAGUACCCCGCCUGGGGAGUAUGGUCGCAAGG